rnacentral:rRNA from 1 species
GAUGAACGCUAGCGAUAGGCUUAACACAUGCAAGUCGAGGGACCGGCGCACGGGUGCGUAACGCGUAUGCAACUUGCCUCACAGAGGGGGAUAACCCGUCGAAAGACGGACUAAUACCGCGUACUGUGAGACAGGAAUGCAUCCCAUUAGCUAGUUGGUGUUGUAACGGCUCACCAAGGCGACGAUGGGUAGGGGAACUGAGAGGUUGAACCCCCAAAAUGGUACUGAGACACGGACCAGACGCCUACGGGAGGCAGCAGUGCGGAAUAUUGGUCAAUGGGCGAGAGCCUGAAACAGCCAAGUCGCGUGAAGGAUGACUGUCUAUAGAUUGUAAACUUCUUUUAUACGGGAAUAUGUACCGUAUGAAUAAGCAUCGGCUAACUCCGUGCCAGCAGCCGCGGUAAUUC